rnacentral:rRNA from 1 species
AUUGAACGCUGGCGGCAGGCCUAACACAUGCAAGUCGAGCGGAGCGGCGGACGGGUGAGUAAUGCCUAGGACUCUGCCUGGUAGUGGGGGAUAACGUCAGGCAACGGGCGCUAAUACCGCAUACUAGCAGCUGCGCCUCGGUCGGAUUAGCUAGUUGGUGGGGUAAAGGCCUACCAAGGCGACGAUCCGUAACUGGUCUGAGAGGAUGGUCAGUCACACUGGAACUGAGACACGGUCCAGACUCCUACGGGAGGCAGCAGUGGGGAAUAUGGGACAAUGGGCGAAAGCCUGAUCCAGCCAUGCCGCGUGUUUGAAGAAGUUCUUCGGAUUGUAAAGCACUUUAAGUUGGGAGGCGUUACCAACAGAAUAAGCACCGGCUAACUUCGUGCCAGCAGCCGCGGUAAUUC